GUCCAAAGGAAUAGCUCAGCUGGUAGAGAUUGAGACUCUUAAUUUCAGGGUUGUGGGUUUGUGUCUCACGUUGGGCA